GUUGUUUUAUCGUCUAUAUUGUUCAUUGGCUUUUCUUUAUAGUUUGUUUUGGUGAAAUCUCCAUGCAUGUUGCAUUACAAUGUUCAUAUUUUUCCGAUUUGGGGCCUGACCUUUUCUAUAUUCUUGAUAUUUGUCCUUUCGGGGUGCUCAUUUUUUCUUUACUGCAAAUAUUUCAUCUUUUGUCGCGCUUUUUUUUUCCUUCUUGCUUCCUAUUUUCUAUCAUGGGAUUCUUUUGCUAAACUCUAUUACCAUUUCCCGUAUCUGGUCUUUUUAGUUUCUUGAUAUUUCUCACUCUUUUUUUAUCUUCUUAAAGCUUUUUUGCACCUUCUCUUUUACGGCAGAAGAUUUCAUUUUUCUCAAUGCCUAUCUCAGGUGGUAUAACUUACUUUUUGUUCCUUUGAUAAGAUUUCCUUUUCUUCAUAUAUCCGACUCGAGGGAUCAACUUUUCUUCUUUUUAAUUUGCUGCCUUUUAACUUUUCUUUACUUGUUUCUGUAAAUGCUUUCAUUCCUCUCAGUGCAUGUUCUGUAUUUGGUGUUAUUCAGAGAUUUUUGAUUCAAAUUUCUUUGGUUUCAAUGUUUUUAACUUCUUGUUUUUACAUAUUUCUAUAUUGGCCACUCAUUUAUUGGCACUGCUUGAGAAGUUACAAUUUGUCUAAAAGAAGAAAGUAGAAGUAAGCAUCCAAAAUCCUCACAAGACAAUUAAUAAGCAGC
rnacentral:lncRNA from 1 species